rnacentral:rRNA from 1 species
UGGGGAAUCUUGCACAAUGGGCGAAAGCCUGAUGCAGCGACGCCGCGUGCGGGAUGAAGGCCUUCGGGUUGUAAACCGCUUUCAGCAGGGACGAGGCCGCAAGGUGACGGUACCUGCAGAAGAAGCUCCGGCUAACUACGUGCCAGCAGCCGCGGUAAUACGUAGGGGGCAAGCGUUGUCCGGAAUCACUGGGCGUAAAGGGUUCGCAGGCGGAAUAACAAGUCAGAUGUGAAAGGCAUGGGCUCAACCCAUGUAAGCAUUUGAAACUGUAAUUCUUGAGAAGUGGAGAGGUAAGUGGAAUUCCUAGUGUAGCGGUGAAAUGCGUAGAUAUUAGGAGGAAUACCUGUGGCGAAGGCGACUUACUGGACACAAAUCUGACGCUGAGGAACGAAAGCGUGGGUAGCAAACAGG